CUACGGGGGGCACCAGUGAGGAAUAUUGCACAAUGGGGGGAACCCUGAUGCAGCAACGCCGCGUGGAGGAUGACGCAUUUCGGUGUGUAAACUCCUUUUAUAUGUCAAGAAAAUGACGGUAGCAUAUGAAUAAGCACCGGCUAACUCCGUGCCAGCAGCCGCGGUAAUACGGAGGGUGCAAGCGUUACUCGGAAUCACUGGGCGUAAAGGACGCGUAGGCGGGUUGGAAAGUCAGGUGUGAAAUCCUACAGCUUAACUGUAGAACUGCACUUGAAACUUCUAAUCUAGAGUAUGGGAGGGGGGGAUGGAAUUAGUGGUGUAGGGGUAAAAUCCGUAGAUAUCACUAGGAAUACCUAAAGCGAAGGCGAUCUCCUGGAACAUUACUGACGCUAAGGCGUGAAAGCGUGGGGAGCAAACAGGAUUAGAUACCUGAGUAGUC
rnacentral:rRNA from 1 species